GAAGAGGCAGGAGACGCAGUAGUUGUUCAUAACGAGAAGGGGUACUUGAAACAGAAAAAAAUAAGCCCAAAUCUCAGAAUCUAGGCUAUGUGAAUGUUUAAUUUGAAGACCUCGAGAGUCCAAAGAAAACAAGAAUGACCUCUAAUCACUCCCUCCUGCUCCAGUGGUGAGCUCCUGAACUGUACUAAUUACCAAAGUCUCUGAUUAGAGGCAAUGGGUUUCCUUCCUGCUACUGAAAAAUGUCAAAAACCAAGCUGCCUCUGGAUAGACCUCAUUUGUGAGGAUUCCAGGUGGUU